UGCCAGCAGCCGCGGUAAUACGUAGGGUGCGAGCGUUAGUCGGAAUUACUGGGCGUAAAGGGUGCGCAGGCGGUCUUGCAAGUCAGAUGUGAAAGCCCCGGGCUUAACCUGGGAAUUGCGUUUGAAACUACAAGACUAGAGUGCAGCAGAGGGGAGUGGAAUUCCAUGUGUAGCAGUGAAAUGCGUAGAGAUGUGGAAGAACACCGAUGGCGAAGGCAGCUCCCUGGGUUGACACUGACGCUCAUGCACGAAAGCGUGGGGAGCAAACAGGAUUAGAUACCCUGGUAGUCCACGCCCUAAACGAUGUCAACUAGUUGUCGGAUCUAAUUAAGGAUUUGGUAACGUAGCUAACGCGUGAAGUUGACCGCCUGGGGAGUACGGUCGCAAGAUUAAAACUCAAAGGA
rnacentral:rRNA from 1 species